AAAAAAGAUAAAAUUUAUGCUCCUUGUUCAUUCCGUCUACCUCUUGUUGUUCACUCUUCAUUCCCUGUGUUGAUAAGAAACGAAAAAGAAAUUGUUGUUCUUUCCCCAAAUUUGAAAUACCAACUUGAGGGAUUACUGUUUCCAUUGAAUCUCGUUCGAGAAACCUUCAUUUAACUAUCCCAAACGUAGUGCUGAGAUUCUCUCUGGUUUAAUUGCGUCAAGAACUUAGAGCUAGCUCGAUGUGGUAGGCUGAGAGAAGCUUACGCCAUGGAGCUAUGGGCACAAUGUGGUAUAUAUUGUUGUCCUUGUAUAUAUAUAUAUCAUGGGUUGUUUUGGGGUAUCUUCUUGUGGGAACUGAAUCAUGUUUUUCUUUGUGUAUAUUUAAACUAUGGUCUGACUUUUAAAUGUAUACAGUACUGCAUUCUAAAAUCUCUUUGUUGCUGAAUCUAAUUGUAGCAAUAUGAAUCGUGCCACAUAGAGCUUUCUACUGUGUGUAUUGUGUAAUACUAAUAAGUUUUCAAAUGAUAUCUACAAGGAUGGCAUGGACGGUAACUGAUUUUAUUUUACUACCGUGUGUUCAACCUUGUUACGAAACAUUACUUAAGCGUACUGCAUACUCACAAUCCUAUGUUUCAUUUUGGAUUUCGAAACUUGUUUAAUUUAAUUUAAGUUUGGAUC